AACCUUUUAAGUUAAAGUUAGAGAUAAAAAGUCUCCGUAGUGA
rnacentral:tRNA from 1 species